rnacentral:misc_RNA from 1 species
GAAGCUUGUCGUUCUGCCCAUGUUGUCUCCAUUUCGCUGCACUUCGAAAGGUAACUUCGUUUCAGCUCAUCUCCUCUAUAUUCCUUUAUGUGUUGAAUGUCUGCUUUGGUCACUGUGAGUUCGUCUUAUGUCAAAAUUUUUAGAUUUGUUUCAAUUUAUUUUUACUGCCAAUCGGUGAUGGUUUCUGUGUGUGUUAUUCGUUUUGUUACUCAUUACCCUUUUCGAUGAAAUUUCUUUUUGAUUUCUUCCUCACCUCAAGCAUACAUACUUACCUUUGUUGAUAUUUUUCAUGUCACUGUGUUUCUUGCACUGUCGGUUGUGAGUCAUGCUAAUAGUUACCCUCUGUGUCUAGUUACUCGUUAUAAUCUCGAUUUAUUUCAUGCAGGUGAAAUAAAUUUGAAAAAUAUUUAUUCCAAGUAGUUUAAAUCACCGCUU